CACAGUGUCUUCCUGUAUGUGGUGGCUAAAGGACAUGGAAAAAGGAUGAGGAGAGCAGAGGAGAUAAUGGAUGGUGUGCGAUCUGUUUGGCCUCCUGAUGCUGAUGGAUGCCUGUGGCACUUUCCUGCCUCAUAAUGCAUAAACACACACACACACACACACACACAGGAACACAGUCAUACAUACACAGGCGCAUCCCUGUCUCUGCAUCUCUCUCACUUUUUCUCAGUCUUUUGGGAAAGUCACUUCCAGGAGACAUAUUUCUGUCCUCCUGUACAGACAGUGAAGAGGAGAGCUAGUGUCUGUACUCAGUGGGGUUUUCCUGUUUGCUGUGCUGCCUCCAUUUACUUGUCACCUGCGGCAGGCUAGACUUAACAAGCAUCCUCAGUCUCAACAAGAGAACUACCUGCUGGGACAUCACAAGCAUCAGAGCCUUACCUGAUUGCGCUAUAUUUGAAGCCAUGGAACAAGCAGAGAAUAAAACCACCUCGCCACAAAAGCAGAAUCGGUCCAAAAAUCGAUCCAAAUCGACAGAUGAGGUGCAGCAAGCAAAAAAGGCCUUUCACACACCACAGAAGUCUCUUCCAGCUAAACCAGAGACGGAGAAGUUGGAGGCGGACACCGAGGAGCUUAGCGCUUCAACCGAGGAGCUAAAAUAAUGGCAUCACUCAGACUGGGGUUACAGGAAAAUUUACAUAAAUCUACAAAAUGCAUCUUGUUUAUACCACUGAUACCACUAAUACCAUGUCUUCUGCCAUAAGAUGUGUAUUCUUGCAUUAUUCAUUAGUCAGUCAAAACAAUAAAACAUAUCACAAUUCUGUUGAAAACAGCGAAAAGUUUGAAGGGAUUUUUCCCCCUAACGCAGAUCUUAGCCCUAGUCUAAAAUUGUUGAGGCAUGAACCCUGGAUUUUAUUUAUUUAUGACGAUGAGUAAACAAUCAUCAGUGGAUCCUGUCAAAUGUUUGUCUGUAAUAUAAACUGCAUAAAUUCUAUGCUUGUAAUGAUCUAUAAAGCAUUACUUCACAAACCUUUGGUAGUUUUUUUGAAAAAAAAAAAAUCUUUUCACAUAAUAUUUUAGAAAGGAAUAUGAUUGUUCCCAUGAUGAAUUUUGGAACUAUUACACCACCAGCGUUGUCAUGUUGAGUGUUUAAAGCUUGACACUCCCCAUGGUAUGUUGCAAUGGCCAAUUAUGAAGCAUUAUUGUUUUAAACUCAGGGAUUAUCCCAGCACCCUUUCAAGGCAAAAAGCAGUUUGAGGCUCUUGCAGGAGGUAAGUGAAGCUGUGAGGCCUGAUAGGCUGUCAAGUCACACACACAUCCUCUCACACACACACACACGCACACACACACACGCACACACACACUGAAAGCUCCUAUCACUGGGACGUGGAAAG
ensembl:lncRNA